GGUUAAGCGACUAAGCGUACACGGUGGAUGCCCUGGCAGUCAGAGGCGAUGAAGGACGUGCUAAUCUGCGAAAAGCGUCGGUAAGGUGAUAUGAACCGUUAUAACCGGCGAUGUCCGAAUGGGGAAACCCAGUGCAAUUCGUUGCACUAUCGUUAACUGAAUACAUAGGUUAACGAGGCGAACCGGGGGAACUGAAACAUCUAAGUACCCCGAGGAAAAGAAAUCAACCGAGAUUCCCCCAGUAGCGGCGAGCGAACGGGGAGCAGCCCAGAGUCUGAAUCAGCUUGUGUGUUAGUGGAACGGUCUGGAAAGUCCGACGGUACAGGGUGAUAGUCCCGUACACCAAAAUGCACAGGCUGUGAACUCGAAGAGUAGGGCGGGACACGUGGUAUCCUGUCUGAAUAUGGGGGGACCAUCCUCCAAGGCUAAAUACUCCUGACUGACCGAUAGUGAACCAGUACCGUGAGGGAAAGGCGAAAAGAACCCCGGCGAGGGGAGUGAAAAAGAACCUGAAACCGUGUACGUACAAGCAGUGGGAGCACCUUCGGGUGUGACUGCGUACCUUUUGUAUAAUGGGUCAGCGACUUAUAUUCUGUAGCAAGGUUAACCGUAUAGGGGAGCCGCAGGGAAACCGAGUCUUAACUGGGCGUUAAGUUGCAGGGUAUAGACCCGAAACCCGGUGAUCUAGCCAUGGGCAGGUUGAAGGUUGGGUAACACUAACUGGAGGACCGAACCGACUAAUGUUGAAAAAUUAGCGGAUGACUUGUGGCUGGGGGUGAAAGGCCAAUCAAACCGGGAGAUAGCUGGUUCUCCCCGAAAGCUAUUUAGGUAGCGCCUCGUGAACUCAUCUUCGGGGGUAGAGCACUGUUUCGGCUAGGGGGUCAUCCCGACUUACCAACCCGAUGCAAACUACGAAUACCGAAGAAUGUUAUCACGGGAGACACACGGCGGGUGCUAACGUCCGUCGUGAAGAGGGAAACAACCCAGACCGCCAGCUAAGGUCCCAAAGUCAUGGUUAAGUGGGAAACGAUGUGGGAAGGCACAGACAGCCAGGAUGUUGGCUUAGAAGCAGCCAUCAUUUAAAGAAAGCGUAAUAGCUCACUGGUCGAGUCGGCCUGCGCGGAAGAUGUAACGGGGCUAAACCAUGCACCGAAGCUGCGGCAGCGACACUAUGUGUUGUUGGGUAGGGGAGCGUUCUGUAAGCCUGCGAAGGUGUGCUGUGAGGCAUGCUGGAGGUAUCAGAAGUGCGAAUGCUGACAUAAGUAACGAUAAAGCGGGUGAAAAGCCCGCUCGCCGGAAGACCAAGGGUUCCUGUCCAACGUUAAUCGGGGCAGGGUGAGUCGACCCCUAAGGCGAGGCCGAAAGGCGUAGUCGAUGGGAAACAGGUUAAUAUUCCUGUACUUGGUGUUACUGCGAAGGGGGGACGGAGAAGGCUAUGUUAGCCGGGCGACGGUUGUCCCGGUUUAAACAUGUAGGCUGGUUGUCCAGGCAAAUCCGGAUAAUCAAGGCUGAGGUGUGAUGACGAGGCACUACGGUGCUGAAGUAACAAAUGCCCUGCUUCCAGGAAAAGCCUCUAAGCAUCAGGUAACAUCAAAUCGUACCCCAAACCGACACAGGUGGUCAGGUAGAGAAUACCAAGGCGCUUGAGAGAACUCGGGUGAAGGAACUAGGCAAAAUGGUGCCGUAACUUCGGGAGAAGGCACGCUGGUGUGUAGGUGAAGUCCCUGCGGAUGGAGCUGAGACCAGUCGAAGAUACCAGCUGGCUGCAACUGUUUAUUAAAAACACAGCACUGUGCAAACACGAAAGUGGACGUAUACGGUGUGACGCCUGCCCGGUGCCGGAAGGUUAAUUGAUGGGGUUAUCCGUAAGGAGAAGCUCUUGAUCGAAGCCCCGGUAAACGGCGGCCGUAACUAUAACGGUCCUAAGGUAGCGAAAUUCCUUGUCGGGUAAGUUCCGACCUGCACGAAUGGCGUAAUGAUGGCCAGGCUGUCUCCACCCGAGACUCAGUGAAAUUGAACUCGCUGUGAAGAUGCAGUGUACCCGCGGCAAGACGGAAAGACCCCGUGAACCUUUACUAUAGCUUGACACUGAACAUUGAGCCUUGAUGUGUAGGAUAGGUGGGAGGCUUUGAAGCGUGGACGCCAGUCUGCGUGGAGCCAACCUUGAAAUACCACCCUUUAAUGUUUGAUGUUCUAACGUUGGCCCCUUACCGGGGUUGCGGACAGUGUCUGGUGGGUAGUUUGACUGGGGCGGUCUCCUCCCAAAGCGUAACGGAGGAGCACGAAGGUUAGCUAAUCCUGGUCGGACAUCAGGAGGUUAGUGCAAUGGCAUAAGCUAGCUUGACUGCGAGCGUGACGGCGCGAGCAGGUGCGAAAGCAGGUCAUAGUGAUCCGGUGGUUCUGAAUGGAAGGGCCAUCGCUCAACGGAUAAAAGGUACUCCGGGGAUAACAGGCUGAUACCGCCCAAGAGUUCAUAUCGACGGCGGUGUUUGGCACCUCGAUGUCGGCUCAUCACAUCCUGGGGCUGAAGUAGGUCCCAAGGGUAUGGCUGUUCGCCAUUUAAAGUGGUACGCGAGCUGGGUUUAGAACGUCGUGAGACAGUUCGGUCCCUAUCUGCCGUGGGCGCUGGAGAAUUGAGGGGGGCUGCUCCUAGUACGAGAGGACCGGAGUGGACGCAUCACUGGUGUUCGGGUUGUCAUGCCAAUGGCACUGCCCGGUAGCUAAAUGCGGAAGAGAUAAGUGCUGAAAGCAUCUAAGCACGAAACUUGCCCCGAGAUGAGUUCUCCCUGAGACUUUAAGUCUCCUGAAGGAACGUUGAAGACGACGACGUUGAUAGGCCGGGUGUGUAAGCGCAGCGAUGCGUUGAGCUAACCGGUACUAAUGAACCGUGAGGCUUAACCUU
rnacentral:rRNA from 1 species